GGGGACACUGAGACACUAGGGGACACGGACACAUGAUGACACAUACACUAGGGGACACUGAGACACUAGGACACAGACACUGGGAGACCUGGGAACACAGACACUUGGGGACACUGGAAAACAUGGGGACACUGGGACACAUGAGGAUGCUGAGACACAUGGGGGCAUUGGGAGACACUAUGUUCCCAUGUCCCCCAGCCAGUGUCCCUAGUGUCUCAGUGUCCCCAGUCUCCCAGUGUCUGUGUUCCAUGUCUCUCAGUGUGCCUAGUGUCCCCAUGUCUUUGUCCACAACUGUCCCCAUGUCUCCCCAAGUGUCUCUCCCAGCUAGUGUCCCCUAGUCUCCC